GGGCAGAAUAAAAAAUUACUAAAAAAAAAUCUUCUCAAAAUUACGGAAAUCGAGCGGCGGCGGCGGCUCCCCCCGCCCGCCGGCCCGCCCGCCCCCUCCCCGGCUCCCCGGCCCCGGGCGCAGCGCGCAUGUGUCCUGCUAUAAUUAUGAUUAUCAAUAAUGCAUUGCGAUUAAUCAUAGAGGGGCUCUUUGAAAGGCGAUUGGCACCGGGCCAGCGCUAUUCAAACCCGCUCGCCUUAAUCAAUUAGUUUGUGAUUUGCUGCAGACCCCUGUCUCUCCGCGCGCUGGCCCAAUAAGCCGGCCGCGGGGCUGGCUCUGCGAGCCGCGCCGCCCGACACUGGGUUAACCCUCUUCGCGACCGCCCGGGACUCCGCGGCCGGGCCGCCGGGGGCCUGCCUUCUCGCCUCUGAGCACCCGGCGCCCCGGCCUGAGCCCCCCUCCCUCCCUCGGCCCCCCCAUCCCGGGCUGGGCCGACCCAAAUUAGCAUGCCCUCCCCGGAAUUAAGCCUCCCCGGGUGGGGGGUGGGGCCGGGCGGCGGGGGCUGGGGACCCGGGCUGCGGGCGCGCGGCGAACUUCCCAACUCCGGCGCUAGGAGCGCCGGCCCGCGGGGGGAGGGAGUCCCGUGGCGGGAUUUGGGGGGAGGAAGUCCCGUUUCGUGAGUGUUUCUUCGUUUCUUUAAGAGCUACCAGAAAGCAGCCCACCCCCACCCCCAUAAAAAAAAAAAUAAGCGAGUGGGGAAGAGCCAGCCCCACGCCGGUCCGCCUCCCGCCCGCGGCCCGGCCUCCCUCCCGCUCGCUGCUUGGCUCGGCGCUCCUUCGCCCCGAGUUCUCCAUCCCCUGGAUCCCGGGCUCGCGGGGGCGCGGAGAAGAGGACCAAGGAAAGGGUCUCCUCGCUCCUGGUUCCCGAAGUCCUGCGCCCGAGGGACACUCUAAACUUCGGUGGUGCUUCAAAUGCCAUUAUUUCUCACUGAAUAUUUAAAGAGAUCUCUCGGCAAAGAUGGAUCUGCGUGCUCCUGGGGUGCCAGCCUCUCGCUUCCCCCAGACCCCCAGGAAAGUGUGCGGGAGCACGUGUAAAACCCAUCCCCCGCUCCGCAAACUGUGAUCCUCGCAGGCAUCCCAACCCACACUCUUCCAGGUACACCAACGCCGCCGUAUGCAGUUGCACACGCGUUUCUCCGUUUCUGCCCCUGUUUGGAUUCGCCCGCAUCCGUCUCUAACAAUCUUGGCUUCUUGAAAGUCCGGGCCUCUGGGGCACCGCGUGCUGCCAGGAACCGAACGGAGCUAGCGAUCCCGCAAAUCCUUCUUCCUGGAUCGCGCCGUAAGCGCCGCGGCAAGCUCCCGGGAUUAGCGUCACACGUGUUCGUUACUUGCUCUAUGUGUGAUUAAGAUUAAGGGGCGGGGGAGCUUUCCCUCCCCCCACCCCCAACAAAACACCAAAACAAACAACCAAACGAAAUGCACACGCAAAGCAGCAGCUUCGCGAUGUUUAAUUAAAAAUGGGCGAGCA
rnacentral:lncRNA from 1 species